rnacentral:rRNA from 1 species
GAUGAACGCUAGCGGCAGGCUUAAUACAUGCAAGUCGAGGGGCAGCACGAAUAGCAAUAUUUGGUGGCGACCGGCGCACGGGUGCGUAACACGUAUACAACCUACCUAUAACAGGGGGAUAGCCUUUCGAAAGAGAGAUUAAUACCCCGUAAUAAAUUGAGUGGCAUCACUUGAUUUUGAAAGCUACGGCGGUUAUAGAUGGGUAUGCGUCUGAUUAGCUAGUUGGUGAGGUAACGGCUCACCAAGGCGACGAUCAGUAGGGGAUCUGAGAGGACUAACCCCCANACUGGUACUGAGACACGGACCAGACCCCUAGGGAGCAGCAGUAAGGAAUAUUGGUCAAUGGAGGCAACUCUGAACCAGCCAUGCCGCGUGCAGGAUGACGGCCCUAUGGGUUGUAAACUGCUUUUGUACCAGAGAAAACCUACUCACGUGUGAGUAGCUGAUAGUAUGGUAAGAAUAAGCAUCGGCUAACUUCGUGCCAGCAG